rnacentral:rRNA from 1 species
AAUGAACGUUGGCGGCGUGGAUUAGGCAUGCAAGUCGAGCGGAAAGGCCCCUUCGGGGUACUCGAGCGGCGAAAGGGAGAGUAACGCGUGGAUACCUGCCCCUGGAUCCGGAAUAGCUGCGGGAAACUGCAGGUAAUGCCGGAUAAUGUCUCUGGACCAAAGGUGUGAUUCCGUCCAGGGAGGGUCCGCGUCCUAUUAGCUUGUUGGUGGGGUAAUGGCCUACCAAGGCGACGAUGGGUACCGGGUGUGAGAGCAUGACCCGGCUCACUGGGACUGAGACACUGCCCAGACACCUACGGGAGGCAG